CUACUCAUCCCUGAGCUCUCACAGCCCCUUUAGGGGCAGGACCCCUGAGGAUGAACCCUCAUUCCGCCGGUCUCUCGGAUCCCCCUUUCUCUUUUGCUUGAUUGCCCCUCCAAACAGGAAGGCGCCAACAACCCUACCUUGAGUCAGACCUGCGGCAACUAGGCAAGCUGCAGCCGCGAGGUAGAAGCUCUCUCUGACCCUUUUACCUUAAUGGUUCGUACCCGCGGGAAAUAAAGUUGGAAAACUGCAAGCGAUUUCCGAUCUACGGCUUCUUCCAGCUCCUCAGAUUUAUCUUACCGUCCCCCCCGCGAAUCCUCUCAAGAUCCCACCGAGAGAUGGAUUCGAAGACUCUCCCCUCCUUCCGCUGCUGGAUUCUGGCCCGUGCCCCGUCUCUCUCCACCCCAGCGGCUUCCCGAGUGAUUCUCCAAGGGCAAAUGAAUUUUGACCAGGAAGACAGUGAAGAAAUUUCAUAAAAGUGAAAUACUAAUUGGAAGCUCCUAUCGGCAUUGGUUGAUCUGACAAGUUGUGUGUAUAGAAACUAGCCUAUAUGGAGACACGAAUGUCAAAAGAAGUUUUACCGAUGAUAGAAAUAUGAGAGGAUCAUUAUGUAUUCUUCAAGAAAAAGAAAUAUGGCAAAGGAUAGUAAAGGUAAUACUGCCAAAAAUAUCCAGAUUGUAUUGAAGAAAAUUGUGAAAAAAAGGACCAGAGUCAAAGUUAUUUUUCUAGAUGGAGUUUCGCUCUUAUUGCCCAAGCUGGAGUGCAAUGGCAUGAUCUCAGCUCACUGCAACCUCCGCCUCCCGGGUUUGAGCGACUCUCCUGCCACAGCCUCCAGAGUAGCUGGGAUUACAGUCAUGUGUCACCACGUCUGGCUAAUUUUGUAUUUUUAGUAGAGACAGGGUUUCUCCAUGUUGGUCAGGCUGGUCUCGAACUCAGGUGAUCCGCUGGCCUCGGCCUCCCAAAGUGCUGGGGUUACAGGGUGCACAGCGGGCCAGCCUAAAACGACCUUUUUAAAGCAAUUGAAAGUAUUCACUCAGUGAGACAAAGUAGUGAACAUAGUGGCGUGUCUGGAGUCUGUCCCUUCUGAUGUUCACAUGUGUACGGAGUUUCUUUCUUCUGGUGGGUUCGUGGUCUCGCUGGCUCAGGAGUGAAGCUGCAGACCUUCGCGGAUGUGAUUCCAAUAAAUAAACCAGGGCACCUGCUGGUUCUCAAUACAUACUUGAGAUCCUAACAACUUGGAAGAAGAAACAAAAAUGUCUUCAAAGGAACAAGAAUUUGGCAUUUCAUUGACAACUCUGGAACACGGAAUACAACAAGACAUGUCUUCAGAAUUCUUAGAUGUAUUUUCAACUUUGAAUUCUAUACUGAAACUAUGAACCCUGAGGGCAGAAAAAGUAUUCAAGAACUCAGGAAGUAUCUCCAAAAACCCACACAGAAUAUUACUCAAAGAUCUGCUGGUGGCAGAUGAUGGCAUAAACCAAGAAAGAAGAAGCACUGAGUCCAAAAUGGUAGUGACAGAAAUGAGUGCAGCUGAUCUUGAGUGUGAUUAGCCAGGUUAAAGUAGGCCAAAGGAAAAUUCUGGAAAGAGAUAUCUAAGAGAGACGUGUCCAGGAAAAAGAGAACUUGAUGUAUAAAUAAUUUUAAAAACUGAAAAAAGUGAGGAAAACAAAUGCAAGUUAUGGGACAGAUAAAAGACUGGCAAUAAGUAAUUCCAGGGAGAGUACAACCCAGUGUACCAAUUGGUAAAUAAUAUUAAAUUAUAUAAUACAAACACUGCUUACAGAUGUUUCACUUUUAAAAUCAAUCCAUUGGCAGAUUUAAUAAUGGAUGCAGAAGAAUUAAAUGGCUUCGCAUUUAUUUUAACAAAGUGAAAGUAAGACUUUUGGAGGUAGAAGAAGGAGAGCUGGGGAAAGAUAUUUUCUCAUUUCAUAGAGAAAGGCUUCAGAACAUGCCCACGUGAUGGACAAUAUAUAAAGGUAAAUGUUUAUUAUUUAAAUAAUAAUGCUAUAUUAGGCAGUGUGAACUAAAUACUUACUAUAAUAAUAAUGUGAGUUACUAGUGUAAAAAUCAAGAAUAAAUAAAAAGUGAUAAAACAUAAUUUAGAAAUGUGAAUAUAAUCAUCAGAUAUAAAUAAUAAAUAAUUAAAAUAAUUAAAUAGAUUUCCUUUAGGUUGCAGGACUGCAAAUUGGGAAUGGUGAGGGUUUUUUUUCCCCUACAAAUCCUUUAUUAAUUGCAUUUUAUAUGUGUGAGUAUAUUAAAAAUUUAAAAACUAAAUUAAACAACAUAAGUAGUAAAAUAAUACAUAGCUUAUAGAAAUAAAAAUAAAAUUUUAAUGCCAAUUUAAUGUAAAAGUAGAAUUUCCAGGCAUUUCGAAGAUGCUUAUAGCUUCCUUUUUCUGUAUUCUCUUAUUAUCAAGUCUCCCUAGACAUAAUAUAGUUAAACAGUUUUCAUCUCUUUUCUCAAAGCUGGAUUCUUAGGAGCAAUUUGUACAAAAUGAUCCUGAGUAUCCCAGUCUUCUUAUGUAUGUUGUCUUUUUAAAGAUACAAUGCAGGUCAAUUCAGGCUUUUGAUUUACAACGCCCACUUCUCUGCUAGUUUGAGUUUCCAACUUAGUAGUACAGGACAACUGUCAGUUCCUAGAAAAUAUAAGCCUUACAUUUUGUUCUAAGGCCUGAAUUUUUCUCUUAACUAUUAAAAUUUAUUUUAAACAUAACAGCUUAGAGUAACUUAAAUUCAUGCUGUUAAACAUACACACACAGUCAAAAUCUGAUAAGGCACAUGUAUUUAAUUUCAGUGACUCUGACAUCUACUCUGUUCUUCAUGAAGAUGAUGAAUGGUACAUUAUAGCUCUUUUGUACAAAUAUUUGGUUUUGGUCCCCUUGAAAAUGACCUUAAAAUCACCUGGGGCUAUUGUUAAAAAUGCACACAUGCCCACUGCAUCCUCAGUCUUACUAAAUCAAGAAUAGCAAUCUCGAUGAGUAAUUCGAUUAGUGAUCUCGAUUAGUAAUUCCUGCAGAGCACAGGAAUCAAUUUCAAUGAAAAAUUUUCUCUGUGAUUUUUCAAUAUUUUUAAAUGUUUCCAAAUCUUUAGUGCCCCCUCUGCAAAGUCCGGACUUGUCUCUUAGUUUGAACUUUAGUAAAAUGUAAAGCUUAAGAACAGCAUUAGAAUUGUUCCCAUUCGUUCAAUUGAUCCACUCAACACAUAUAAUAUGCAUCUUCUAACUGUGGGCACUGUCCUGAGUCCUGGACACAUGAACUAACAAAAGAGCUCGCCUUAGGAGUGAGGCAGGGUCUUAGGCAUAUCAGAGAGGACAUUCAUGACUUAUGUUGGCAAGUUUAAUAUGACAUAUAAGUGAAUAUUAAUUUCUCCAUUGCACCCUUUGUGAGUUUCUGAGAAAAUAAAUAACAUAUAUAUGUGUGAAUUACAAAUACAAAUAUAUAUCCCUUGAAUGGCCUAGGGUAAACAGAUAAAAGUUGUUGUUUGUUAGAGUAAAAUCCUAACUGAACAAAUGGGGUAAUUUUAUAUGCAUUGUACAAUUCCAGAUCAACUCUGGUAAACCUCACCAGGAGUAAGGAUUUUUGUUGUUUAUGUGUAAGAUUGCCGAUACAUUUUAUUUUAUUUUGAUGACAAAGCAACUUGGUUUUGACUACUGAAUUGUUAAGUUUGCCUCUGCUAUUUUCAAUUCCUCUGUAAUUUAGGGAUUGUGAAUAUCAGUCAGAGAAAAACUGCAGUGGGACUUGAAGCCCUGAUGUGCUGUUCGGUCAGACUUUUUUUUUUCCUGAAUUUUAAAGAUAGAGUUUCUCUAUUGUAGGAAAACAUAUCUUAGUUAUUUUUUAUUUUAAAUACAUUCCUCUGGAGGAAGAACAAAAAGCAAAGCAAAGAAAAACAAAACAUAGCUUUUUCUAUGUUGUUUUAUACUUAAUAUCUAAAGCUCUUCAUGAAAGCAAGAAAUUUUGACCUUAAGACUAUUCCUGAAUAUAUGUAUUCUUGAAUAUAAUAUCAUAUAUAUUACACAUAUCUGUUAUGAAAGCCCAAAUAAACUGCACAUCUAUAUCUAUUCAUACUGCCACUUGAAUGAAAGCACAUUCAAGGUAAAAUGUUUCUUUGAAUAAAAAAGCUUGGCAAAUUCCAUUGACUUUCAAGUUCUUUUUUUCUUUUCUUUCUCACCUUAACUCUUAAAUAGCCAUUUGCUUUGGUGAUCAUUUUACAUUUAGCUCAGUAUUGUCCAUUUACUACCAGCCAAUCAGCCAUCCCAUGACU
ensembl:lncRNA novel transcript